ensembl:lncRNA
CCAUACCUUGCCUUUGAGAAUACUAAAGUUAUUCUCUCUUAAGCAGUAAGACUCAAAUGCCCAAGAUAAACAAACUUCUUUUCAGUUCAUCAUCCUGACACUUAGAGACGUUUAAAACUGCUCCAAGAUGCAGAAGCAUUUUGUCCUUGGUUCCAACACUCACCUUACUAAUACAUACAUUAGAAAGAAUUAAGACUUUAAUUUAAAAACUUAGCAGUGUGCUGCAUACCUGUGUGUGCUUCUGUGGGUGAGGGAGAAAGACUGAUGGCAAAUGUCAUUAGCAGGGUUUUGAAGCCUUUUGGUGGGCUUAAUUGGACGGAUCCAUGUGAAGGUAAGAGGUUUGCCAAGAAGACCUUUAGCUGUCCUGCAUUUGAUUCCCUGCUAUUUUUAAUAUAAAUGUAGUAUUUUAAAUCCAUCUCUUGCGUCCUAAACCAGAUUUUGUCUUAAGCAGCUGUGCUUAAAUUGUAAAAUCUCACCCUUGUGUCUGGUUUCACAUCUGGCAACAUCCAGCUAACAGCAACAAUUCACUUGGAGUAAUCAAAAAAGGUUUUUAAAAAGCUACAAUAAUACAUAAAGAAUAAGUUAUCACAACAUUGUUUUGUUUUCCAACCAAAUUUUGCAGAACCAUUGUAAGUAGCUGAGCUGUCCAGUUAUUCCGAGAAGUGUUGACCAAAAUAAGUACAUGUUGAAGAAAGUAAAGGCAGGCUUGUAAAUAGGUGGGAACUGGGCAACAUUAAGCUGUCAUAAUUACUAGUGAGCCACAUGUCUCCACUUUGAUGUCAACUAUAUACUUUCUUUUCUGUCUAAGGGAGGAAGAAACUUCAAAAGGGUUGAUUUCAUGACAAUAAAGGGCCUUGCUAUUAUAUAUACAGACUUAAACAGCAAAUGGAAAAUUUCAGUAUUGAAGAUAUAAAUGUAGUUCAAAACGGAUUCCAUGGUCCACAAAAAUGAGGAAAAAAAAGCCAUUCAGGUUCUGUCUCACACACUGGACCCAGCACAUAACCAUUCCCCUGAUUGAAGGACACAGUGUCAGUGAACGAAGAGAAGGCAUAGAACCAGGACCUACGCACCUGAAAUCCAAAAAGGACCAAAACCAUAGAGCCUGUGACAACUUGAUCCAGCACCAAGAACGAUGUGUGAAGUAUAUUGAAGAUAAAACCCAUGAACAUAAAUAAUGCCUUUUUAAAAAGUAAUGUUAAUUUACAUCAUUUUAAUAAUAUUCCUUCUUUACAGUGCUUUUACCUUCCUAAAUUAAAAUAUUAGUACUUCAUAGUCCUUUUCGUUCCACAAUUACUG